rnacentral:rRNA from 1 species
GAUAAACGCUGGCGGCGUGCCUUAUGCAUGCAAGUCGAACGGUCUUGAUUUAUCAAGAUAGUGGCAAACGGGUGAGUAACAGGUAAGUAACCUGCCCCAAAGUAGGGGAUAACUCCGAGAAAUUGGAGCUAAUACCUUAUGUGGUGAUGGAGGUAGGGCUCCAUCAUUAAAGCCUUCGGGUGCUUAGGGAUGGGCUUGCAUCUGAUUAGCUAGUUGGUAAGGUAACGGCUUACCAAGGCAAUGAUCAGUAGCUGGUUUGAGAGGAUGGCCAGCCACACUGGGACUGAGAUACGGCCCAGACUCCUACGGGAGGCAGCAGCAAGGUAAUUUUGUGCAAUGGGCGAAAGCCUGACACAGCGACGCCGCGUGGGGGAUGAAGGCUUUCGGGUUGUAAACCCCUUUUCUCAGGGAAGAAUGAUGACGGUACCUGAGGAAUAAGUCUCGGCUAACUACGUG